UACGGAGGGUGCAAGCGUUGUCCGGAAUCACUGGGCGUAAAGGGCGCGUAGGCGGCUCAUGAAGGCUGUGGUGAAAGUUCGGGGCUCAACCCUGAAUCGGCCGUCGAUACUCCUGGGCUCGAGCACUGUAGAGGCAGAUGGAAUUCCGGGUGUAGCGGUGGAAUGCGUAGAGAUCCGGAAGAACACCGGUGGCGAAGGCGGUCUGCUGGGCAGUUGCUGACACUGAGGCGCGACAGCGUGGGGAGCAAACAGGG
rnacentral:rRNA from 1 species